GCCUUGGUAGCGCAGCUAACGCGUGAAGUUGACCGCCUGGGGAGUACGGUCGCAAGAUUAAAACUCAAAGGAAUUGACGGGGACCCGCACAAGCGGUGGAUGAUGUGGAUUAAUUCGAUGCAACGCGAAAAACCUUACCUACCCUUGACAUGUCUGGAAUGCCGAAGAGAUUUGGCAGUGCUCGCAAGAGAACCGGAACACAGGUGCUGCAUGGCUGUCGUCAGCUCGUGUCGUGAGAUGUUGGGUUAAGUCCCGCAACGAGCGCAACCCUUGUCAUUAGUUGCUACGAAAGGGCACUCUAAUGAGACUGCCGGUGACAAACCGGAGGAAGGUGGGGAUGACGUCAAGUCCUCAUGGCCCUUAUGGGUAGGGCUUCACACGUCAUACAAUGGUCGGGACAGAGGGUCGCCAACCCGCGAGGGGGAGCCAAUCCCAGAAACCCGAUCGUAGUCCGGAUCGCAGUCUGCAACUCGACUGCGUGAAGUCGGAAUCGCUAGUAAUCGCGGAUCAGCAUGUCGCGGUGAAUACGUUCCCGGGUCUUGUACACACCGCCCGUCACACCAUGGGAGUGGGUUUUACCAGAAGUAGUUAGCCUAACCGCAAGGGGGGCGAUUACCACGGUAGGAUUCAUGACUGGGGUGAAGUCGUAACAAGGUAGCCGUAUCGG
rnacentral:rRNA from 1 species